GGUCCUCACCACAACCACCGUACCACCCAUCCUCACCUGCUCCCUUCCUCACCUCCUCUUUUAAUCCUUUCCAAACCCUAGCCUUCCUUUCCUCCCUCGCGCCGCCGCCAGCUACCUCCUCUUCUCCCCAUCGUUUUCCUCCCCUCUCUGUAAGCAAACGAAGGAGAGAAACCUCACAGUACCGCGUCCACCUCGCCAUGGUGCCGCCGCUCGAGGCCACCCCUGGCCAAGCUGAGACCACCGGCGGGUGCGCCUCAUCAUCCUCUACCUCCUGAUGCGAGGAAUCGAGCCAGGAGAUCUCGAAUCAACCGCGGGCUCGCCGUUUCCCUUCUUCGGCCGUCGUCGUCUUUCGUCAAUUCUGGCCGCAUCCAUGCGCCUCCGCUGUUUCUGAGUACGGAAACACACUCCUGGAGCUCGACGCCGGCGACUCUCCGGUGAUCCCCUGGACUCCGCACCGCCUCCAUCACCUUCCCCGCGUCGAGCCGCACCCCCGACGCCAUCUCGCCCUUCUUGGUUCGCCCGGAAUCAGCAGAUCGGUGUUUGUUCUGUGAGUUCCGCCAUGGCUUCCAGUUGUGAGCUCCGCGUUCUUUCCCUUCAUGUUACGGCGCACCCUAGUGUUGACACGAACCGAACAAUAGCACAGUGACCUGGGGUCACGAAUGGGCCGACCCAAUCUUCCUGCGGUUCAGCCCAUCGCUCAUGAGCGCCCAGCCACAGCCUACCGACGCUUGGGCCAGCAUUUGCUUCUUCCCGGAUAGGAUCACGAAGUGGUGUGGUGAGAUACGACAAGUGCUUCUGCAGCUUUUCACAGGCGAGCCCUCUCUCUUCACCUAUUUUACUCUCCCCCUCGCAUUGCUAUCCUUAUGUUGCGAUUCUUUAUCGAGUCACGUGUCCUAUUCCACUUGUUUACCAUAAUAAUCCUAUAUGUAUCAUUCCUUACCCAUAGCCGUUGCUUGAUGUUUGAGCCUUGCGAGUCGUAGGCGUGUUUAGGCUCUGUUUUUUAUCUCGAUCUGUUAUCGGGAUAUGUUGGGUUGUUGGGAGGUUGUCACAUGCUAUAUCAGUUGUUGGAGAUACACAUGCUUUAUUUAAUGUUAACAACUAAAAUUGUAAGCAGAGGCAUCUGUGAGCCCCUUUGCGAAAGCAUCGGAACUUUGACUUGCAAAUGUCCCCUAGGACCCGAGUUCUUGUUAUCUGUUCCGAGAUUGAGCGCUCUACCCAUGCGUGGGGACGAUUAUUGGGACCCCCCCCUCACCCAUUACCUUUUCUCAAGUUAGUUGAAAAGGGGGCCACAACCUUGGUUUUAUUUGGCGCAUGCAUGUUUAUAUAUUGUUGCCUUCGGGUGUUUACUUCCUGUUGCCUUCGGGUAUUUAUAUUCUGUAUUGUACCCCGCGGAACGUUUAGCGAAGCGUGUGGUUUGCACGCCUAGCCGUUAACGCAAACCCUGAGUCCGCUUCGGAGUACGGCCGGACUUCGUUACGGGUAGCUUAGUCGGGUGGCCCCCCUAGACUUUCUUGUUGAACUGGGAACGGUCUUGUUGUGAGACAUCCACCUGUCGUAAGUGGGUCGAGCAUGCGUAUGGUUACAUUUGGGCAACCCCUGCAGGGUGUACAUCUUAUCGAUAAGCCGUGUCCGCGGUUAUGGACGACUUGGAAUUGUUUAGCUUGAUCAUAGAACAACUUACACCGUUAUCUUGUUGCUAAUAAUUUGCUAAUAACUUGCGUAGUAAUAUAGCAUUACUACAACCGAUACCUAAUAAAACUUGUCCACCGUUGAGUGCCUUUUACAUUGCCUCUUCGCAAUUGUUGAAGGGGAUAUGUGUAAUUGGCUGGGUUAUGUUUGUGUAGUAUUUUAUCUGUCACCUUGUACGCUCUCUUAUCUUAUCUGAUUAGACGGAUGUUGUAGCGUGUCUCUAUUGGUUAUAGUUUUGCUGCCGGUAAACCUACCAUAUAGCCCCCGGCGAUAUAUAUAUUAUACUCGCCCGGCGAGCAUAGCCAUUUCUAGUCUCGCUAAGUACGUGCCGGAGUUCGUUCCUUGGUACUUACUCUCGCCUUUUCCCCUUUCUCUUUUGCUUCCUCCCUCUUGUCGACAACCGAUGGCCCGACUUUGACGAGUACAAGAUGACGACGUUAGCAAGGUUACCCUUCCAGCUUGGCUCGGGCAGGGUUAUGGACGCCACUGGUUAUCUUCAGGACUCUUAGUCCAAUUUGUAUCUUGUCCGUACUCGGACGUAUUCGAUCUUCUGUAUGAUUUAAAUCUUUGUAUUGUAUAUUUGUAUCUUGACUCGUUGGAGUCGUUGUUGUAAUAUAUGUAUCUUGUGGGCUUUAUUGUAA